AGGGUUUAAGCAGCAUGUAUUCUCAAUUUGGCGCACUACAGAAGAUUGGCAUGGCCCCUGUGCAAGGAUGACACACCAAUCCAUGAGACGUUUUAAAAAGAA